rnacentral:rRNA from 1 species
CUACGGGAGGCAGCAGUAAGGAAUAUUGGUCAAUGGAGGCAACUCUGAAGCAGCCAUGCCGCGUGCAGGAAGACAGCGCUCUGGGUCGUAAACUGCUUUUAUUCGCGAAUAAACCUACUUACGUGUAAGUAGCUGAAUGUACCGAAGGAAUAAGGAUCCGCUAACUCCGUGCCAGCAGCCGCGGUAAUACGGACGAUCCAAGCGUUAUCCGGAUUUAUUGGGUAUAAAGGGUGCGUAGGCGGCUUUUUAAGUCAGGGGUGAAAGACGGUAGCUCAACUAUCGCAGUGCCCUUGAUACUGAAGAGCUUGAAUGGACUAGAGGUUGGCGGAAUGUGACAAGUAGCGGUGAAAUGCAUAGAUAUGUCACAGAACACGGAUUGCGAAGGCAG